AUGACUCUUCUCGCCACGGUUGGUCAGCCUCAUCCUCCGUCGAAGGUGAUCUCCCGCCGCGAGCACUCCAACCGGGGGCACAAGCUGACCCGGGAGCCGACGGGCCAGGCCAAGUUCAAGUGCAACGGCUGCCUCGAGGAGAUCACGGGGUGCGACAGGGACACGUGCAAGCCUUGUGACUUCGACCUCCACCAGGCCUGCAACUACAAAGAAGGGACCACGCUGGAGCACCAGCUGCUGCCCAAGAGCAAGUUCGUGCUCCGCCUCGAGGCCCCCCCUUCCAAGCAGCGAUGCAGCGCCUGCGGCACCCGCACGCAGGGCACCCACUACCACUGCGCACGGACGGGCCAUUACCUCCACCCGUGCUGCGCGAUGCUGCCUAUGGAGAUCAAGCUGAGUGAUGAGCUCAGCUUCGAGCUCCGCGAGAAGGGGUCUCGCCGCUGCGCCAAGUGCAGGGAAGGAGGCGGCGUCAGGGACUACUGGUUCUACUGCUCCAACUCCAACUCCAAGAAAGUGCACCUGCAUGUCGCCUGCGCGAGAGAGGAUUUUCUUCUGCCGAGCUCAAGCAGUACCGAGUCUCACUCUGACGUCGGCGGUAAUGGCAGGACUGCGUUGCGGAAGUACGGGUCGGGGAAGUCCGGGAUGAACCUGGGCACCAUAGGCGACAUCGUUAAGGCCCUGGCGGGCAUCGUCCUCGCGGUGCUCACUGGAAACCCGCUGCCGUUGAUUUCUGCAGGGGUCGAUCUGCUCUCCAGCGUCGCCAAGUUGAAAAAGUAG
rnacentral:rRNA from 1 species